rnacentral:rRNA from 1 species
UACGUAGGGGGCUAGCGUUGUCCGGAAUCAUUGGGCGUAAAGAGCGUGUAGGCGGCCCGGUAAGUCCGCUGUGAAAGUCGGGGGCUCAACCCUCGAAUGCCGGUGGAUACUGUCGGGCUAGAGUGCGGAAGAGGCGAGUGGAAUUCCUGGUGUAGCGGUGAAAUGACGCAGAUAUCAGGAGGAACACCAAUUGCGAAGGCAGCUCGCUGGGACGUAACUGACGCUGAGACGCGAAAGCGUGGGGAGCAAACAGG